rnacentral:lncRNA from 1 species
UUUUUUUUUUUUUUUAAGAUUUUAUUUAUUUAUUUAUCUGGGAGGGGAGAGAGAGAAGGAAGGAGGGAGAGAGCACAAGUGGGGGAAGGGGCAGAGGGAGAGGGCGAGAGAGAAUCUCAAGCAGGCUCCACACCCAGUGCAGAGCCCAACAUGGGGCUUGAUGACCCUGAGAUCAUGACCUGAGCUGAAAUCAAGAGUAGGACACUCAACCAAGCUGAGCCACCGAGGUGCCCCUCAGGUGCUUCUGAUAUACAUCAAAGUAGUUGCAGUUAUUACUAGGCAGGGGGAAAAAACAAUCAAGGCAAUCUAGACUUAAUGUCAUUGUCAUUUGUAAUACUUGUUCUUCAGCAAAUUUAUCUUUCUAAUUAUAUAUUUUGAGGCAUCCACUAAAUCAUCCUGUUUUCUAUCAGUAUGACAUCCCUAAAAAAUAAGGAGGUUGUACUAGCAGCAUACGUGAUAUAGAGGCCUAUUUAUUGUAGAAAGAACAUCAAAUAAGAACUAUUUUUCAACAAUAAUCUGAAGAAUGGACAACAUACAAAUAGAAGGGUUACAUGACUCUAAUCUUAAUUUAGCACAUAUUUUAGAUGAGAUAGAGAAGAAUAAAACUUUAUAAUAAAAAAAAACAAUUUUAAAGAGCUCUGGGCUUAAUUUUCAGAAUCUCACAAUUUGCAGAAAUGAGACUGAAAUACUUUACAUAUGACCAUCUCCAAAAUGUUUUCUGCUAUUUUUCUGUAGAAAAUAAGAAAAAACAAAACAAAACAAAACAAAAAAACAAAAACCAAACCCUCACAGAUUAACACUUUUUCUGGUAAAUACAGAUUUCUCUUAAGAAAAUAAGCUAAUAGUCCAAAUACAUCAUUAUUUUAGCCAUUAAAUAUUUACUGAGUACUUACAAUAUACAGGCAUUUUACUACUUCUAUACUAGUUGUCUAGUAAAUGUCUUUACUAGUUGCAUGCUAGUAUCACACACUUUAUGCUCCUAUCAUUCCCAAACUAGUACUUCUGACCAGACAAAAAAAAUAUAGGGGAGGUUAUCAGCCCUGUUUUGUGUCUAUGUGGGUUAUCACAUGACCUGAGUUCACAUUAAGGUCAUGUUACAUAAUAUGCUUUGGCCUGGAAUUUGUCUGAUGUAGGACUUCACUUAAGGAAAUACGCCUGCAAAAGCCCUCACAGAUUGUCUGGUCCAAACUCAUUAUACUGGGGCCCCUGGCUGGCUCAGUUCGUAAAGCACGUGACUCUUGAUCUUGGGGUUGUGAGUUUAAGCCCCAAGGUAAGUGUGAAGACUACUUAAAUAAAUAAAAGACCCACAAGUGAAAAAAGAAAACAAAUUCAGCAUACAGAUGAAGACACUGGGAUGCAGAGAUGAAGAAGAACUAGAAUAAAGUAGCAAAUAUCUGCCCAAAUUUGUAGCUCUUUCAGUCUAGCACCGACUUUGAGAAGAUGGGUAGAUCUUGGGCAGGAAUGCAUUGUGACUUCUGUGAGCCCUGGAAACUUUGGUCUUUGUGCUCUUCCUCCAGAAAAAAUUCAACAAUUACAUUUUGUGACCAUUUUGGUAUGAAGACAAAUAUAUUAAUGUCAUAUGUUAAAACAUUUUGUUCAACUGAAGUUCAGUUUUUUCUUCUGAUUUAAAAAACAUUAAAAUAUUUUCAUGGGCCCCUAAAAAUAUUGAGGGCUGGGGGUACUCAUGGAUAAGACAGCCCUAGUGUUAGGUCCUUUCAUGACAGUUGACACCAGCUUUACUCUUCUCCAGGAGUCUUGGUUUGGCCAUAGGGGACUAUACGUGUGGCUUCUCUGGCACUCAGGAUGUACUGGCCCCUGACAGCUGUCUAAGCAGGCUACUCCAGUAGUUCUUCUCAUUCUGGCAGUGCUUCAGCACAUACUUCCCAUCCUGAACCAGGCAAUCAUUUAAAAAACCUAGAGUCAGCUGCAAGCCUCUGGGAAUGGAAACAUCCCUUUAGGAUCCCAAAUUGCAUUUAAAAGGACUAUUAGGCAGAUCACUUCACUGGGAUUUAUGAUUUUGCACAAUAUGACUAGUUAUCACCUACAGAGACAUCCUUACCCUAAGAACAUGUAUGAGGGGCACCUGGGUGGCUCAGUGGUUGAGCGUCUGCCUUCAGCUCAGGGCGUGAUCCCAAGGUCCUGGGAUUGAGUCCCACAUCAAGCUCCCCAAAGGGAGCCUGCUUCUCCCUCUGCCUGUGUCUCUGCCUCUCUCUGUGUGUCUCUCAUGAAUAAAGAAAAUCUUAAAACAAAAAAAAGAACAUGCAUGAGGGUUUUCUGGACUAGAUAGGAUUUUGUUUCCAGUAUUUCCCAGUGUGAAAAGGCUGCAUCAUUCACAAAAAUGAAGGCAAGUGUAACUCUAUUGUAACCAGGGAAAUUCAAUGACUAUGAAAUCUCUCAAUAUUUAUCCAUUUUAAUGUCAUUUAAAAUGGAAUUUAUCAGGACACCUAGGUGGCUUAGCGAUUGGCCGUCUGCCUUUGGCUUAGGGAGUGACCCUGGGGUCCUGGGAUCAAGUCCUGUAUCGGGCUCCCCUCAGGGAACCUGCUUCUCCCUCUGCCUUUGUCUCUGCCUCUCCCUCUGUGUCUCUCAUGAAUAUAAAUAAAUAAAAUCUUUAAAAAAAAUGGAAUUCAUCAUUCUCAUAGCACUCACUCUGAUUGAUUUUACUUUCAGGUCCCCAAGUACGAGGCUCAGUUUAAGUCCUAGCCUAUCUGGUAACUAACAUUUAUCACUACUCUUAUGAUCAGAAGUUUGACUCCUAUUUUUUGUCACACCUGUUAUUUUUCUUUAGCUGUUUCUGAUCUUUAAUUCAACAAAUAUUAUUUUGUGACUACUAUAUGCCAGGUAUGACAGUGCUCCUGUAGAGUUAAUUUCAAGUAUAACACUUAAAACAGGGCAAAUGUGUUAAGUGCCACUAUAGGGUAUUUAUUGAAUAAAAGAGGUGUCUGGGAAAAUGUCACACAGGAUAAAGCAUUUGAAAUGAGUCUUAGUGAGGAAAGACUACUCAGAACUGGAAAGAAGGUGGAAGAGACACAGCAUACUAAAGACAGAAAUAGCAGUGUCAAAUAUAUUUACAAAAUAGCAAUAAGUAUAAUUUGGUUUAAAACAUGCAGUACUAGUUAGUAUUAAGAAAUGAAAAGCAAAAUUAGAGGCUAAAUAUAAAUAUCAAAAAGGAACACUAACAUCUGGGACCUCAUUUAUUUUUAUUUUUAAUUUUAUUUAUUUUUCCGGGACCUCACUUUGUACUUCAUUUAUAUUCCCUAUAGCCCAGCCUAGUGUUGGUCACAUAUAUAAUAUCUGGUAAUUGAUUAAAGCUGUCAAAAAAAAAAAGUUCAACAAUAUACAAUAACUCCAGGGACCUGUUCAAAUGCAUCUAAUAAUUACAGUAAAUAUACAACGAUAUAAGGCACUUGGAAAAAAGUCCUCCCAAAUUCAUGAAACAGUUGUAGUUAACAGAGAGUAGAUUGGGGGUAAUCAUUCUAACCCUUCCUGUAAUACAAAUACAGUAGUUUAAAAAAUUCUAAUAGGUCCUACUAAUCUCAGAGCAUUACUUUCAGUGAAGCUCAGAAGUACGUGAAAAGCUACAUAUAAGUGAGUUUCAAUAUAGGGCGGCCCGAGGGGCUCAGCGGUUUAGCACCGCCUUCAGCCCGGGGUGUGAUCCCCAAGUCCUGGGAUCGAGUCCGGCAUUGGGCUCCCUGCAGGGAGCCUGCUUCUCCCUCUGCCUGCGUCUCUGCCUCUCUCGCUCUCUGUGUCUCUCAUUAAUAAAUAAAAUCUUAAAAAAAAAAGUGAAUUUCAAUAUAAAAGGAAUCCCUAUUGGUUUAACAAACUCAAGUCUACUUUUCAUCGAGUCUUCCAGCAAAGGGGCAAAUUUAAUUUAUAAAAUGAAAACUGUAGUAGCUUCCUAAGCAAAGGGAGGCAGCUAAAAUUAAAGACGAAGUUUUACUGAGAAGAAGUUGCAGUUGCAUAAUUAAGCAUAACUCAGGGAAUUAGUGAUGGCAUCGUCAGUAUAAGAAACUGUCCAAAUUAAACUGAACUUCAGGGACACCUGGGCAGCUCAGGUGGCUGGUUGAGCGUCUGCCUUCAGCUCAGGGUGUGAUCCCGGGGUUCUGGGAUCCAGUCCCACAUCAGGCCCACCACAGGGAGCCUGCUUCUUCCUCUGCCUGUGUGUCUGUGUCUCUCAUGAAUAAAUAAAUAAAUUCUUUUAGAAACAAUAGCAACAACAAUAAACCACUGAACUUCAGAAUUUUCUUGCAGUAUAAAAAGGUUUCUAGAAUAUAAUUUUUAUUUUCAGAUGUGGGCAAAAUAAUGAAAUUAAAACACACCCAUAGAUUCCAAAUGCCAGAAAUACAUGGAAUAGUUAAAUAUUUGAGCAAUAUAAUUACUUUACAUGAAAAAUAACAUAUGCAGGUACAAUGCAACAGUUGUUCAUGUAAUGUUUUAAAAGCUAAAUGUUUUUUUAAAGAUUUUAUUUAUUUGAGAGAGAGAGCACAAGUGGGGUGAAGGGCAGAAGGAGAAGCAGACUGCCGCUGAGCAGGGAGUCCAACGCAUGGCUUGAUCCGGGGAUUCCGAGAUCAUGACCUGAGCUGAAGGCAGAUGCUUAACUGCCUGAGCCACACAGGCGCCCCAAAAGCUAAAUUUGUAAUAGAACAAUUGUUAUACUCCUUUCCACGGAGCAUUAUUCUAUUCACUAACAAGUCUUGAUGAUCACUAUCUUCUUACUCGUAUAAAUUCACUUUUUUUUUCACUUUCUUUUUUUACAAGUACCUCUGCCUGUGUUUAAAUAUACUGUGAAAUUUGAAAAACAGGUAUUUGUUCUAAGACUAGAUUACCAUUAUGACCCAAAGCUAUUGCAAAUGCUUCUCCAAGACUGGCUCACGGCCCACAGCCACAGGAAUCGUAUUUCACCUGUGUUGCUCAGCUUAAAAUGCAGAUACUUAUACUCCAACAAUUCUUGGAUCUCACCAUGAUACAAAAUCAUUCUUUUAUCAUUGUAAUCAGUAUUCUCACUUCCAUCUUCAUCCAGAUUAAAUUCCACUAUCCUGUUUUUAACUUUACAAACCGCCCUGUCCUUCUCUUCAUCUCUCUACUAGUAAAAUGCCAACUCAACCAUCAGCUUACUCUAAUCCUGAUGACAUGGCCUCGUACUUGAGUGGGGAAAUAGAUCUGAUCAGUUGAAUUUUAUCUCAUCAUCCCUCCCCCCAAAAUCUUCCAUUACCUUCCAGAACAAAACUCCUCAAAGAAUACCUUAACUUUCUCCUCAACCAUUUUCUCAACACACUCCAUUCAGGUUUUUGUUCCCACUUCACGGAAACACUACUAAGUCAAGUCACCAAGGACUAUAUCUUCCCCACGGCCACUGACUAAUUCCCUAUUCUCACCUGAUCAAACCUUAAAUUAGCAUUUCAGACAGUUGACCAUUCCUUCCUUCUGAAAUCCUUCUUUUUCUAGUUUCUGGGAUACCUUCCUCAUCUGGUUUUCUUCCUACUUUGUUGGCCAGCUCAUUCUGAGGCCCCCCCCCCUUUUUUCCAGCUUAUUGGCUACUACAUCUCUCAAUGCUGGAGUGAUCAAGAAUAGCCUUUAACACACACACACACACACACACACUCACACACCUUAUCCAUUCUCUUUCCCUAAGUGAGUUUAUCCAGUCUCAUGGCUUUGGAUAUCACCUAAUCUAGACAGAUGAUUACUACUCUCAAAUUUUAUUUCUAGUCCAUAGCUUUUUAAAUUCUAGUCUCCUUUAUACGAUUGCCUUAACAUAUCCACUUGGAUGUCUAAGAGCCAUCUAACACUUAACAAGGUCAAGGCAGAACUAUUAACAUCUAAUCCCUCCACUUGGAAAGUCCUCCAAUGUCAGUGAAUGGUCUACCGUUCACCCACCUGUUCAAUCAAAAACCAGCAUUUUUUUUUUCUCACUCUCUUCUCCAAUCCAAUCCAUCUAUCUCUUAUUAGCUCUAUUUCCAAUAUAUAUUUCAAAUCUGACCAAGUUAAGCUGAGAGUGAGUCCCUUUCAGGUGUUUGGUGCCUGGUUCUGCGUUGGGUCAUCUCCACUUCCAUGCCUCCUGGCCCUGCUUCUCCCUGUCAAACCCACACUUGCCAGCCUAGUGUCAAGUCCUCAUUUUCUCACUUAAACAACUGUCUUCACCCUCUAACUACUAGUCUUCCUACUUCCCUACCUCUCCUAAGCCACUCUAUUAGUCGCUGCUCAAAAACCUUUGGUGGACCUUCAAUGUUCACAAAAUAAAGCAUUAACUCCUUGUUAGGGUAUUCAAAAACUCAUGAUUUUAACUCAGCUUAUUCCAGUCACAUCUCUCAGUGCAUUCCUUUCAACUACCCUGUAAUCA